rnacentral:tRNA from 1 species
UGUUUAUUUACUUAAGUAGUUUAAUAUAAAAUAAUGAUUUGUGGUGUCAUAGAUAUAGAAUUA